UACGAAGGGUGCAAGCGUUGCUCGGAAUUAUUGGGCGUAAAGGGUUGGUAGGUGGUGAUACAAGUCUGGAGUGAAAUCCCUGAGCUUAACUUAGGACGUGCUUUGGAAACUGUAUCACUAGAGUGCUAGAGAGGUUCGUGGAAUUCCUGGUGUAGCGGUGAAAUGCGUAGAGAUCAGGAGGAACAUCAGCGGCGAAGGCGGCGAACUGGAUAGUAACUGACACUGAACAACGAAAGCGUGGGGAGCAAACAGG
rnacentral:rRNA from 1 species